GUUUUAAUAAUUUAAAAUAAAAAUAUUGAUUUUGUAAAUCAAAAAUAAGGCUAUCUUUUAAAACU
rnacentral:tRNA from 1 species